UGACAGAUUGAGAGCUCUUUCUUGAUUCGGUGGGUGGUGGUGCAUGGCCGUUCUUAGUUGGUGGAGCGAUUUGUCUGGUUAAUUCCGAUAACGAACGAGACUCUAGCCUGCUAAAUAGGUGACGGGUUUUAUCAAUUGAAACCGAAGGGAGUACGGAGGCGUCGGGAUCAGGUGGCGGCGGUUCGGGUUGCAAGUGGCCGGGUUCUUUAGUGAGCUCUGUUGGCUUUGUUUACGGGCUGCCUCGGGCGUGCGGGCGACUCGUCGUUUCGUACGUUGUUGGUGGUUUUAGUUUGCACGGUCUGCGGGGUUUGCGGGGGCUCGGUCUCUUGUUUCUCGGUCGUCGUCAUCCCCGGCGAUACCUUCUGCUCUCGCGUCCGUCACGCAGUCUUCUUAGAGGGACAAGCGGCGUCCAGCCGCGUGACAGUGAGCAAUAACAGGUCUGUGAUGCCCUUAGAUGUCCUGGGCCGCACGCGCGCUACACUGAAGGAAUCAGCGUGUUUCACUCUCCCUGUCCGAAAGGACCGGGUAACCGCUGAACCUCCUUCGUGGUUGGGAUUGGGGACUGCAAUG
rnacentral:rRNA from 1 species